rnacentral:rRNA from 1 species
GUGGGGAAUAUUGGACAAUGGGCGAAAGCCUGAUCCAGCCAUGCCGCGUGUGUGAAGAAGGUCUUCGGAUUGUAAAGCACUUUAAGUUGGGAGGAAGGGCAGUAAGUUAAUACCUUGCUGCUUUGACGUUACCGACAGAAUAAGCACCGGCUAACUUCGUGCCAGCAGCCGCGGUAAUACGAAGGGUGCAAGCGUUAAUCGGAAUUACUGGGCGUAAAGCGCGCGUAGGUGGUUUUGUAAGUUGGAGGUGAAAUCCCCGGGCUCAACCUGGGAACUGCCUCCAAAACUGCAUGACUAGAGUACGGUAGAGGGUAGUGGAAUUUCCUGUGUAGCGGUGAAAUGCGUAGAUAUAGGAAGGAACACCAGUGGCGAAGGCGACUACCUGGACUGAUACUGACACUGAGGUGCGAAAGCGUGGGGAGCAAACAGGAUUAGAAACCCGUGUAGUCC